rnacentral:tRNA from 1 species
GCGCGAUUGGCGUAAUUGGUAGCCGCGCCAGACUUAGGAUCUGGUUCCGUAAGGAGUGGGGGUUCGAGUCCCCCAUCGCGCA